rnacentral:lncRNA from 1 species
UGGACCGUCCUCUUCGUCUUGAUGGUGGCGACGGCGGCGUUGACGUCCUUGGGGACGACGUCGCCGCGGUACAUCAGGCAGCAGGCCAUGUACUUUCCAUGGCGGGGAUCGCACUUGGCCAUCAUGCUCGCAGGUUCGAAUACCGCGUUGGUGAUCUCCGGCACGGAGAGCUGCUCGUGGUAGGCCUUCUCGGCGGAGAUGACCGGCGCGUAGGAGGAGAGCAUGAAGUGGAUCCGAGGAUACGGCACGAGGUUCGUCUGGAACUCCGUCACGUCGACGUUGAUGGCCCCGUCGAAUCUCAGGGAGGUCGUCAGCGAGGAGAUGACCUGAGAGAUCAGCCGGUUCAGAUUCGUGUACGUCGGCCUCUCAAUGUCCAGCGACCUCCUGCAGAUGUCGUAGAUGGCCUCGUUGUCCAGGAGGACGGCGACGUCUGUGUGCUCGAGCAGGGAGUGUGUGGAGAGGACGCUGUUGUACGGCUCCACCACCGCCGUGGAAACCUG